GCUGGGCUGGCGGUGCUACUGACCCUGGGCUGUGGCACUGUUGGCUGGAGAGUUUUAGUCUAGAAAAGGCCUGAGCUGCAGAAUCUGGGACAGGAUUCAAUUCACAUCACGCGAAUUUGGGGUUGAAUGUGAUCAAAUAAGAGCAUUGCCAUCCUCUCACUGGCAGCAAAUCAAAUGAGUUCUUUGGGCUUUUUUCCUCCACAACAAAGAACAACAACAGGAACAAAUGCUGGGAGAGGAGAGAAAGACGUGACAUCAUCUGUGGAAAAGUUUUCCCUUUUUUUCUGCCUGAAGGACUGUUUUGAUUUCCAACUGCAUCUCAGUCUGUCAACAGCCAGCUUGGGAAAGAGACCAAGGACUAGAAAGCCAAAACCAGACUGUUAGAUCAAUCAUGGCCAAGAUGUGCUUCUCACUUAUAAAGGCUAAAAGAAAAGCAGCGAGGCAAGAAGUUUGUCCUUUGCAAUGUUGGAAGACUGCUGCCCCCCAUCCUGUGUCUGAUUCUCUGCGUGUCAGACUAUACACAAAUCUGCAAGAGAAGAUAUUGCUUGUGUGUUUAAAAUACUUCUGCCAUCAGACAGGGAGAAGACUGCUGUCUACAGCUGGAAUUUGCACAUUUAAGUUGCAAGUUACUACAGGCAGCAGUUGAUUUGAAGAUACCUUGCAAAUGCAAAAUCGACACCUUUUGCUGAGUGUUCAGCUUUGAAACCAGAGGAGGACCAAUGAGACAGAAAGGCUUUGCAAACAGAAAUGUCAUGACCUAUGGCUUGGGGAAAAGUUUUCAAAAAGAUGCCACUAAUUUCCGAUAUUGUCAGUUUCUGAGAGCGCUAAUUGUGGCUGGGAGAUACUGAAUUAAAAAAAAAAUUAAAAAAAGUUAAGAAGUCCAAAAGGAGAGUAUGUUUUGAAAAGACUAAUUUGUGGGAACUGAACAACCCAAUGAGUUGGGCAGCUUUGGGUGUUCUCUUCACAGAUUCCUGGAGAAUUCCGGCUAGCAUGAAGGAAACCAUUUAUUUCUAAGGAAUUUGGAAAUAAAAGAAAUUAAAAGUUUAGAGAAUAGUGAAGGUCUUCCCACUCAGGAGAGUGCAGCCAUAAAUGUUCAGGAAUAUGAAGCUCAUCUUAAAACUCCUUACAUAAUUCCAAGCCAGAAAGAAAACUAACUUCUGUAUUUUUAGUCUGACACCAUGUACAACUGCAUACUGUAUUUUUAUCUGGCAAGAAUGAGUCCGUCAAAUACAAAUGUAACAUGUACAAUGAUCCUUCAUUCUAGCUCUAACACAGAUGGUUAUCCCUAUAACAAAUAAAUAGCAAGGCUCAGAAUCGAGAAAGGAUAAGAAAAAUUAUAACCAAGAGAAAAAAAGGCCCAGUGCAGAUGAUCUUGUGAGACACUACUUGAUCCAACUCCCCUUAAGAUCUCAUAUCUCAAAAUCACAGUGGGAUAGCAGAGCCUAGGAGCACUUACUGGAGAAUACAAAUAUGGAUAACUGCAACUCCAAACUACCUGUUAAACACAGUCAUAUAGUAUUCUGUCAGGCAGGUUCAGGGCAGUUUGGAGCAUUUUGCUCUGCAAUAUACUCUCCAAUUUCCUCUGGAGCCCUCAAAGUCCAUCUCUUCCAGUUCUUUGAAAACCUAGGUGCUCUUGAGCAUAUUUUUUUAUAUUAUUUUUUAAUAUAAUUGUUCUUUAUGGUUAUGUUUGUGUUAGGAACAAAAGCAUGAAAAGAAGAACAGCUUCCCCACUUGUAUAAACUUGGACAUCUUACUAUUUGUUUUCCUUCUGCACUGAAACAUUUUUGUGAGUUAGUUUUAUGUUGGACCGCCAAUGUUGGCAAGCCUGUGCUGCUGGUGUAGCAUGGAGAAUACAGAGGUUAAAGUAUUAUUUUAAACUGUCACUGUUCCUUCAUGUGCUUCUAACUCUUCUUCCCUAUUUAUUCCAUGACUUCUUACUGCUCUCAUCACCAGAAUUAUUAGUGUUUAUCCCUACUAGUCCACGAAUGUUGUGAGAAAAAAAAAAGAGAUGAAGAUAUUAAAAUCUUUUUUUGAUUGUGUUGGGCAAAUCAGAUAAAUGUAAAGGAAUGCUUCAUGAGAAGUCCUGUAUUCUAAGCCAGGUCUGUAAGCUCACAGAUUCACCACAAUCCCUUCCUCGACUAUCAAAGUAUUUAAGGCAAAUCCAGAGACCUUGUCAGCUCCUAGAGAUUAUCACAGUGGGCUACAAGACAGGUGCAUAGUUAAAGAAUUUCUUGAGCUUCUGGACAAACCACUCCUGUCCUUUGUUGCCUACUUGUGGGGUGCCCAUACACAGGUACUUUUCAAAGGCUUGCCUGGAAACAUGGUGACAGAGAAAGGUAUUCAUCCGGGAAUGCUUAGAAUAACUCAACUGGAGUCAGGAUUAUUAAAUUCUCCUGCUGUCAGUGGCUUGCAAUGCAUUACUUGCACUUAUUUGAGUAAGCUGCUCUGUUGUGGCCUCUGUUUAUAUUCUGGUCUUCUGAAACUUUAAGAGUUUUAUUAUGCAAGUUUCAUAACAUUUAAAAGGUAAAUUAGUGAUAAAUAUGUCCACACUUAAUAACGUUGAAGUAAUAUCUUCACCAAGCUGCAAAGAUUGCAGGGAUAAUUCAAUCUAUAGAUUUACAAAUAAUUUAUUCAGUUUUUAUUUUAACUAGUUUUGCUGUAUGAAUGAAUUAAACAGCUGGCAGCUUGCCUGUCUGUUCAUUGCUCUGCUCCCUUCUCCCCCAUUUCUAAUGUUUUGCUCUUGCCCUAGCUGCAAAUGCAGCAUCCUUUUUAUUUCACAAACAUUCUCUCCAAACAAGUUAGACAAGGGAGAUGCUGGAGUGUGAGGUGAUGUUUCAGGGCAAUUCAAAGGCAUGUUUUCUUAUAUGAUUUACUAAGUGUUCUCAGAAAUAUUGUUUCAUUUCAUAACAUUUCCAGUUAGGGUUUUUGGGGGUUUGGUUUUUUGUUUUGUUUUGUUUUUUUGGCAAUCUUCUUCCCUAGUACAGUGAAGCAGAUUUCUGAAUGAGGCUGAUGAGAUUUGUAAUAUACCCCAAGUUAAUUUAGACAGCAGGUUAGCCCCUCAACAAAACUGUGGCCCAUAUACAAGUCAAAUCUGCUUUUUUCCUUGGGCAAUGAUUUAUUUCCCUCUUAAAUUGGCUGGACCAGUUAGUUUUUUAUUUUUAUUAAGUCACACUAUUCUUAAAUGAAACUAUUGAUUUAAAGUCAGCUUAGUGAGGAUUUAAUUUGUUUUCAGGGGAUUAGAGCAGGUAACAUGGGAUAAUUUUACAAUAAAGUGGAAUAGAAGCAUUCCUUCACAUUACCCUCACCUUUUUUUCUUGCCAGGCUGCACAGACAUUACAAAUUUUCAAGUGAAUUGUGGAAAUACAUUCAUAAAUCAGGCCUAAUUCCUCUGCCUGCUUAAAGGCUAUUCUAAAGAAUAUUUUCCUUUGACCUUGUCCAUGUUUGUCCUUCCAUGGGCUGGUACAUCUGAUAAUUCCACACAAACACAGAUUCACACAAAAUUUUUUUGUGUCCACAGUAGGAAUUGUAAACACGGACAUUUAUUGAGAAAUACAAGACCAGACACGUCUUUUAAUACAGAGGCUACAGAGUGUUUUAAAACACCACUCACUCUAUUGCUCACAAACAGGGAUAGCUAUUGUUGGUAUUCCUUGAUAGUACAUAUACUGGGUAUGUUGGGUUUUCUUUAUACAGUACAGUGAUUUUAAUCUCUGGUCCAUGUAACCUCAGGAAACCUCUUCCUUCUUUGUCAUUCUGUCUUUCAAUCAUAACUAACACAUGAUCUAACAAUUUCUGUGAUUUUACCUGGUGUUGUGCAGUCUGCUUUUGCAGCUUUGCUCUCAGUGACUUGCAUUGGGGCAGACUCUACAGCUCUGAGUAGCAUUACCCUAAGAUCAGACACUCCCCAUUUCUAUGCUUCUUUUUUGGUGGCCUUGAUUAUUUUCUUAGCAGUCCUCUGCUUCUGGCAACACAUCCUUGCUAGGAAAUAUUUCUAAGUUGUUCUACAUAGCAUGUUUCCCAUUGCUCAUAUGCAUAGACAAUGUUCUUCCCAUCUCUUUUUUUUCUUAACUUACAUGAAGCACAUACAUGCUCUACCAAGUUGUGAGAAGAAACAAAACAAGUCCUUAAUGCAGCAUUGAAUAUAAUUUUUUUACAUGGCCUCUGUCACUUGUGCUCUUACCAGGGGAUGGGAAGCUGAAAGCAGCAGAAGGAUAACCCUAUUGGCUGUAUAUCUUCCAUGCUUCUCUGUGGUCCCUGUCUCCCCAUCUCUGUCUUGUGAGGCAUGAGGACUAUUUCUCUCUGCUACUACUGAGUGAAGUGGGAAAAAAAGGCUCAGAUUUUGUUAUUAUGACUUUACUGAGUGAAAACUGCCCCACUGUUACUCAGGUCUUGGGAAUAGAGAUAUUUUUUUCCUCUCCCUGGAAAUCCCUAGAAUCCUGGUAGAAAUGCAGGAUGUAGGUGGACAGGUAAGAUGUAGGUGGACUUACCUCAGAUAUUUAUAAGGGCAAAAGAGAACAGAAAGGAGAAUUGGAAGAGCCAGCACAAAUACCUAGUUACAGAAGGGCAGCCAUCCUCCUUUCCCUGAGGCAAGACAGGCCCAGCAAGAACAGGAAACACCCACCCUGAUGAUGGCAUCGUGUGGUUUCCAGUCUCUGAGGGUUUUUUUUUUCAGAGUGGGAGAACUCCUCCUUUCCUCUCUUCUCCCUUUAUUUGUCUCACCAAGUCCUCCUGUGAAGAAAGGCUUCUUUUGCUGUAUUCCUCUUACAAUGACUGGUUUUUUAAGGUUAUUUUUCAGUCUCUGUUAACACAGUUGGCUUCUGAUUAGACUUUCUGUUGUAGGUGUUGCUGAUAAAAUUUCAGCAGGCACACAGACUCAGCUCUACAUAUACAUUAAACCAGAUGCAGCUCACUGGCUGGGUUUCACGGUUGUUGUUUUUGUUUUUUUUUUCUCCUUGCUAUAUAAAUGUGAGAUCAUAAGUAGUAGAGAAAGAAGAUGGAGGUAUUUCUUGGAAGACAGAGGAGAAAAAAGCAUGUACUCUCAAUUGCACUGCUUACAAGGACUGUGGUUUAUUAUUAUUUAUUAAUGGGGGGGAGAAGGAAAAAAAAAAGGUUUGCACACACCACACUCAACAAUUUUAUGAGAUCCACAUCUGGAAUCCAGAGCAUCUCAGGAAUCAAUCUAUCAGACCCUAGUCGAUUGUAAUAAUGCACCUGGGGUGAAAUUCUGGCUCCAUUAAAGUCAGCUGGAACUUUGCCAUUGCAAUGCAAAAAGUGAUGGCUGAUGUAGGCUACUCCACAUUAGCUCUCAGGCAGAGUGAGAUGGCUUAUAAGUCACCAAUAUUUCCAGAUUUGGCAUAACAUUUAGGGAAAAAAAACCACUGUCAAUCCCAUGUCUCUGUACAGAGAGAAAAAUUAAGAGUUAUAAUGAGGUCAUAGUGCCUGCACAUUUGGCUGUUACUAAAAUAAAUAAGUGUUCAUGAACUUUUUUUCAUAGGUAGAGGCUUUUAGGAUGAAACAGAAAUAUUGUUUAUUGUGCCUCAAGGUCAACACAUAUUUUUGUGUGUGUGUAUGUAAGCCAUCCAAAAUCCUGCUUAUAAAUAUCUAUUUUGUUGUGCUUUUUCCCAUCCUUCCACUGGAAAUGCAUUUCCAACUGUAAAUAGUAUAUUCCCAUUACCUACCCAUCAGUCAAAUCAGCUCAUUUCUGAAAUUCAAUUAAAAGGGUCUCAUUGCCAUAAAUCGAAAACGAUAUUUUAUUGUUACUUUGUAAUUUGGAAGAAUGAAAAUUAAAACAGUAGCUCUGAUGGAAAGAAAUGGCUACUAAAUCAUAAUGAUAUUUUGCAGUUUAUCUGCUCAUUGCUAUUUUAUUUCAGCUAUUUCAGAAUGGAAGGACGAUGAAGUUACUUGCACACCCUAUACCAGUUUUAUUUAUUUUUUUGGCUACUCCAAGCACUUGUCUAAAUCUUUUUUAUGAUUGUUUAUCUAAGUUUCUCCCAAAUGUUUCAUCAAUUGCUAUCCCUGUUCUUUUAUUCCAUAUGUUAACUGCUUCCUGUGUAUAAAAGACAGUUUGCUUAAAUUCCUUUGGCUCUUGACCUCUUCUUACCCUUGGCAGAGACACUCUGUAAUUUUGGGGAUUUUUUUUUUUUACAGUGAGCGUCAAUUGAAUUGUCUUAGUGUCAGAUAAAAUGAACAGAAAGGCCACAUAUGUGUCAUUUAACUUGUGAACUUGGCUACAGAUACAAUAGAUUCCAUGAAAUGGGUGCAAGGUGGGGGACAACCAGAGGUUGAAAUUGAAGUUCCCAUGCUCUGACUACCGAUGAAAAUUGAAAAGGAUAAGCAUGUUAAGAGGCAUUUAUAAUCAGCAACAGUGACUAGUAGUAAAUAAUGAAGAUGCUGCUGCUCUGAGGAGUAUGCGAUGCCAAACCUGUGAACCCUCUUUAAGAUUUAGCAGGAGUUUUACUGGCUGGGGGGGAAAAAAGAUCCAUUUCAGUUCUGUGUUGCUUCAGUAUAGAUAUUGCAAGGGGCCAAGCUCGUUGUGUCUCAUUCCCCUAUUCCAACCCCAUUCAAAAACCAUAAUGCUGAACAUUUUACUUCAUUUGGAGUGUUAUGCAUUCUGCCUAGAAACAUCUGUGGAAAAAGAAAAAGAAAAGAACCACUGGAAACAUGGAGCAGAAAUGAAUUUAGCAGCUGGCAAAGUGAAAAAUCACACAUACCAAGGAGAUUUUGUGUAAGGAGAAGAGAUGAGAGCAGGGCAAAUU